AUCAGGUAUUGUGUAAUUCCUCAAGCUAGCUGUGCGAACUGCUAUGGAUCGACACGUGGUACCUACCCUGUAGCUUCCGCUGGGCCCCCGGGACAUCGUGGGAGGAGCUUCGGGGGGCCCAUCGGCUCAGUUCUCAGUGCUGUUAUGUUCUGCGGACUCUCCAGGCAAACUGGAGUUACCUGCCCAGCGGGAGGAUAAAUAAUAUCUUGGUUUUACAAUUGAAUCAUUCUGAACGAGAAGAACCGACUAAAAUGUUAAAACUUUCCGCAACGGAUCUCUUGGUUCUCGCAUCGAUGAAGAACGCAGCGAAAUGCCAUAAGUAGUGUGAAUUGUUGAAUUCUUUGAAUCAUCGAAUCUUUGAACGCACAUUGCGCCUUUCGGUAUUCCGGACCGCAUGCCUGUCCUAUUUUGUUUUUUCAAACCUUUCUCUCCCUUCUUGUUUUUUUUUCUUCAAUGAACCCCCCCCCCCCUGAAAUAGGAGAGGAUAAUCUGCGUUGCAUAUCCUUCACCACCAAAACUCAUAGGCCGGUUCGUACCUUGCUGCGGCAUGACGCGUUGUAAAUGCUGCCCAGCUCAUUUCGCCCACUGUCGGUGAUACAUUGGGCUUACAGCCGUUAUUGAACCCCACCCCACUUAUUCAAAGGUUGACCUCGGAUCAGGGGGAGGAUACCCGCUGAACUUAAGCAUAUCAAUAAGCGGGAGGAA
rnacentral:misc_RNA from 1 species